GUUUUGAGUUUAUUAAUAUCUAAAAGAUUGAAUUGUUGGUGUCAUGAAGCACACUUCCAUUGACUUGUCCUAAAAACACAUACACAUGUCAAUAUGCAAGUGUCGAAACAAGUUUUAUACUUGUGUAGCCAUAAUAUCGUGCAAAUAUGUAACUUUCUAUAUGUACAGUUCUCCCAUUAUCAUAUCCAUUAACAAUGACAAAGGGACUAAGGGUAUUCCAUGGCAACAAACUUGAUAAGUUAUGUGCCUGGAUGGCAUAAGUUUUCCUGAAAAUGUAGCUGAGGUGGUUCUAGGUGGUGUCAAAUCCUUUUUAUUUAUUUUUUCUCUCAUUUAUUCAUUUAUUGGUAAUAUGUUCAACACAAUUAUAUUCUUAACUUCUCACCUUUCAUUUAAUACUUCCUUUGCAUAGUUGAUUGUAUUUUUACGUUUUUGUAUUUUAGGCAGAUAUAGGCCUUUCUAUGG
rnacentral:misc_RNA from 1 species